rnacentral:lncRNA from 1 species
GAUCAAUCUAUUUUCAUGCGUAUUUUUUCAUGUUUAUUAUUAUAUUUAAUUUAUUUGGUGAAUCCUCUAUUCUCAGUAUUUUCCUAUCUUUCAGUUGGGAUAAAGAGCAAUGUCUAUUUUUUACUACAGAUCAGCAGUCCCGAACCUUUUUGGCACCAGGGACCAGUUUCAUGGAAGACAAUUUUUCCAUGGAUGAAAGGAAGAGUGGUGGAUGGUUUCAGGAUGAAACUGUUUCACCUCAGAUCAUCAGGCAUUAGAUUCUCAUAAGGUGUGUACAACCUAGAUCCCUCACAUGCACAGUUCACAGUAGAGUUCGCGCUCCUAUGAGACUGUAAUGCUGCUGUGGAUCUGACAGGAGGAAGAGCCCAGGUAGUAAUGCUUGCUCACCUACUGUUCGCCUCCUGCUGUGCUGUCUGGUUCCUAACAGGCCACCAGCAGGAACUGUCCACAGCCCAGGAGUCAGGGACCCCUGCUACAGAUGAAAAUAUGAAGAUCCAUCCAGCUUGUAGCUCAGGCUACUGUGCUUCUGUGGCUUCUCAUAGCAACUCAGAGAUGGAAAUUGCUUGGCAAAUUUCUCUGCUGCCAUUUAAGAAACUUUGUAUAACACGUAAAAUAACAGCCAAUUCACAUGGACGCAUACAGAAAAUAGACUUGUUUGUUCAGCCUUUAGAAUCUGGAAGAGAGAUCCACGGAGGACAACGAGAGGAUAAAUCACACUCACAAUUAGCCAACUGCAAUGGAAAUUCAUUACUAAAAGUCAAUUUGCAGUUGGGCAAAAUGACAGCUGCAAGAAGAAAGUUAGACAAAGAAACACAUUUCAUUUGAAUUCUGAUGAAUUUAAAAUGUACACAGAUAGUAGAAGGUAAAAGAGUGUGGAAGCACCCAUGUGGGAAGUUUUGAUGGAGAAGACUUGGAAAAGGUACUUAUUCUCACAGUUCAUUGGCUAAAACAUAACCAAUAACAGAUACCUAAGGAAGUACGGGAUGUGGAGUCAUUUCGGGCCCAAGAAGAAACAGAAACAGAUCUUGGUGAGUAUUUAACCGUCUCUUCCAUAGUGAUAAUCUUGUUCUUUUAAUUUACAAUUUUAAUCCGUAUGUAUUUAUUAUGGUUAUUGGUGUAUUUGGCUUCAUUCCUCUACUGACAUUUUGCAUUUUAUUUAUUUUGUUAUUUUUAUGUUUUUUUUAUUCUUGUGUUUAUUUUUUCUCAUUACUUUGGAAAUUAGGUACUCUUAUUCUAUUAUUUUAGUUUAUCACUGUAUAUUAAUACUUUAUAUAUCUAAUUGUAUUAAACAUUUUUGCUCUUCUCCCAAACAAUUUUAUGAUCAUAGAAAGUUUUAAAUCUAGUUAUCCCCAUAUUAUAAGUGAUCAUUAUCUAGAAUCUUUAUUUUAUCUUAUAUUUUC